rnacentral:rRNA from 1 species
CACAGGUGGGAUUGCGUUUAAAAAUAUUAAAUAGGCAUUAAGUGUGAUUAGGUGGCCAUAGUGCUAGAGUCCUAAGAGGAGAGUUAGAGGAAUAACCAAAGGAAGGAUGAAAUCUUUAGAUCUUGGUUGGAACAUCAAUAGCGACAGCAUCACUCUAUUUUAGGACUGACACUGACUCACUAAAGUGUCGGGUAGCAAACCGG